CUGCAGUUUUGUGGAAUAUUUUAAAUACAUUGCCUUCUUGUAUUUCCUAUGAAAAUGCAGUUGAUAAAUAUUUGAACAAAUAAAAUAAACCUAGUAAUUUAGGAAGUUACCUUCUACCAAGUCAAGACCAUUGCUCCAUUUAGCUCAGUAUUGGCUACGCAGACAUAUGUCCGUAUCAUGAGACGUGGUUUGUAGAUUCUGAAAUAUUGUUUCCUGUGUUCUAUCACUGCACGAAGAUUGAUGCUGCAGAAUUUAGCGCCUCCCUCCCUCCUGGUCAAUCUUAUAGCCCUGAUGGCUGUACACAGAGAUUUGUAAUAAAGUGUGGCCAUCAUACAUGCACUGUUGGCAAACGCUCUUGGGGAGACGGCGACUCCCCCCAAAAUUACCAGGCUAUAAGGUAAGUCUAUGAUCUCACUCUCUGCCUAGGAGAACCUAAGGGGAUUUUGUUUCUGACACCCCUGUCGAUUGAAAAUGAACAAAACCAAUGCAUGUUGACUCAUGACAUUGGGUGUCAUGUUACUUCCUGCUGCACAUGUUCUACAGACUUAUAGAGGUUACUGGUUUAAGGGAGUCAUUGUUAGGUUAGGGCUGUGUUAGUUGUAUAAACCAGAGUUGGUAAACCUCAGCCCCAGGGGGUCAAAUAUGACCCUCCAGGUCUCUCUGUUUCUCUCUUGGGGUCCUCCCCAGACAUAUCCCAGUUCUACCUGGAUGAAGGUGGGAAUAUGUGUGUGUGUAUCCUACUAUACAAAGCUAAGAGUCACAAUUGUCACUUUUCCUCUGUCCCACCCAUUUUUGCCUUUUAUUCUGCACACCACUGGCAUGUGGCUCCUGAAAGAUUGUCAGCAAGGGAAUGUGGCCCCUAGGCUGAAAAAUGUUCCUCACCUUUGAUAUAAAUAAAAGUAAAAAAAACUAAAACUAGUAAUAAUAUCAGUGUGGCCAAGGUCUGAAUAAUCAAAGAACUUGGGGUGGGAGGUGGGAUGGGGGGGGGCUCAGUAGGAAUUUUAAAUAAAGGCUGUUUGCUUUAGAGCUGAGAGACUUCUUCAAAGGCUUUCUCCCCACACCCAUAGAUUUAAAAAAAUCGUCUGAGCAUUUAAAAGUGUAUUUCUCUUGCAUAUUCCUAACACAUGCUUUCCUUAAACAUAAAUCCUGCACCGACCUAGGACUGUUCAUUAAAUAACAAGCAGGGUUGUGGGUUGUUGCUUUUUUUUUAAAAAAAAAAAAAAAAUCCAACAGUUUAAGAACUCCUUCUUCUUUAAUUUGAAAAUUAACUUGUUGCCUAAAGGUAACACUUCUCCGUUGACAAAAUAAUGGUAAGAGAUUGACCUUUUCAUGAAUGGAUUACAGGCAAGAAAUAAUAUACUUUGUCACAGAGCAUUAACUGUGCCUGUUGAAAAGGUAAAGACUGUGUACAGAGCUUAUGAUGUCAGUGGCUCCCUUAAAAAUAUUAAUUAUGUCAGUUAAAACACUUGAAGUCGUUGAGUCGGUGUCACAUCCUGAUGACUGGCAUCUCUUAAAUUCUCCUGCUUACAGCUCCAUCUCAAAGAAAACAAAAGUAGUCAUUGGGGGCGGGGGAGGGAGGAAGAGAAUCCCCCUUUCUGUUCCUGAACCCAAGAGCCUGUUGGAAUAUGGACAGCAAAUGUGGAAUUCUUCUAAGGAGGCGGGGGAGGGAAUUUAGUCCUGAUUCGUGAUGGGUAUCAUGUUACCUUCAGCUGCACAUGUUCUUAAGACUUAUGGAUGUUAUUGGUUGAAGUGGGGAGUUAUUUUCUGUACCGUGUUAGAUCUACACAUUGCUUAUUUGAAUGCAGAAUCUGGGCCCCUUUGGACCACAUCUGAUUUUUUUUUGUUUGUGCAUGUAACAGGCUAUGCUUUAUUUAUUUAUUCUGAUUUAGAAAGAUUUAUAAACUCCCUAAUCAAACAGCUCUCUAAGCUGUGUACACAAUAAAACUGCAGAUAAGACACAGCUAAAAGCCACAAAACUAUUAAAAAAACAAAUAUAAGUAAGACAAUUAUAAUUAAAGCACAGAUAAAAUCAGUAAAACUUUUAGAAACAAGAUAGGUAACUGAAUUAUAUGUUCUGGGUUGGCUUGCAUCUAAAACCACUUAGUGAGGCUGCCUGCUUAAUGUCAAAGGACUCUGAAAGACCUCCUGCCCAGGGCAGCAAACAGAAACACAAGUUAAAAACAACAAAAAAGCAAAAACAUUCUAAAGCAUUUAAAACAUUCAAAAAACUAUUGCAAUUAAAAGCAUCUAAAAGCAGUUUCUGUUAACCCCCCCCCCCCACAUUAUUCCAUGCAGUGGUCACAGGGCUGGCCAGAACAGUCACCAAGUGCAAGCGUGAACGGGAAUGUUUUCAAAUUCCUCCUGAAAGUUAAUGAUGAUGGAGACAGGCACACCUUGCUGGGGAGGGCAUUCCACAACUGGUGAAACCAGGGAAGAACACUGGGAUCAGUUGGAUUUGGCACUGCACCCUGCAUAGGGUGGUAACUGGGAAAAGUCAUCUUCUAGUAUUGACACUAUAUAGGGCAUAUAUAAAAUGGGACUUAGAAGGAUAUUGUAUUAGAUACCUGGGGGCCAGAUUGUUGUGGGUGGAAGUGUCUGAAACUGACCCCUGAAGAAGAAGCACCUGGCUUCAUCCUGGGACACUGCCCUCCUUCCCAGACAGAGAGCAUAUGCAGAGGAGAACAGUAGAAUAGAUGUACCUGGUCUGCCCCUACCAAAAGCACUCUCUUUCUCUGCCUUAGGGACAAAGUCAUCUGGAUGCAGGAAAAGCAGCUAAAAGCAACAUUGGGAAAAGGCAGUAGCACUCCCACCUUGUGGAACAAGACCCUCCUGGCAGUGAAGGGUGGCCCAUUAUAGCAAAUGGGGCACUGCCCACUAACCUAAGCUUGUUCUCAGCCCCGCCCCCACCUGCCUGCCUUCCUACUUACAAUCAGGGCAGAGGAUAGCGCUGUCUGACAGGUUCCUCCUCUGUCUUAGUAAUGUCUCUUGCAGAACUCAACAGGCAGGAGGAUGGGGACAAAACUAGAAUUAGUUGGCUCUGCCUGUCAUCAGCUCUGGCUCCACCUACUUUUGGCUCCCUGCCUCCCACUCCAACAGUCUCCAUGGACACCUGUUGCCCUGGGUCUAUGGUGGCCAUCUUCUGGGAGACUCUCUCUCUCCUCAUGAAAAUGAAAAUUUGUCAGCAUUUUAGAGAUAAUUUUUCCUAACCUUCAGAUUUUGUAUGCACUUUUGACUUACAGACACAUUUCUGCAAGCAACCCCCCCCCCCAUUUAUGCACAUGGUUGGAGAUCUGCCUCGCAAAAUUCAGUGAACUUUGAAUAGUGCAGGAUAUUGUUUCGGUAUUGCAUUUUGUUUCAAUGCAUUUGGUAGUUUCUCCUUUUAAUGCAAACUGAAUUGAUUUUCUCCCCCAUCUCUACUGAGGAGUGUGGCCUGUGGAAAUGAGCUGUAGGGAGUUCCAAUGGUCAGAUAUAAAGGCUUGCAGGGACCCCAUUUGGCCUCAAAGCCUGAGGGUCCCCUUCUCUGAUAUAAAGAGAUUCCACCCUCAAAGGAAAAGGCAAAUACGGAGCCUAGGCACUCAUGGUGAGUUAAUUCAGCAACACCAAGACCUGCAUUAAACAAUGUUUGGAAGAUGAAGAGUUUAAAAGACCCUGAGAAAUAAACAAAACAACAGGCAUUCAACCUGGUACUGAAAAGACCACAAAGAGGGUGCCAGGGAGAAUAUUUCACAGCCAGGGAGCUAACACUGAAAGGGAUUUCUCCAAUAGUUACCCCUCACACUUUGCUUGCUGGGUGCACCCAAAAAGGGCUUUGGAGGAUGAUCUCUAGGUCCAGGUAAGUACACAUAGGAAGAGACAAUCCUCAGUGUAGAGCAAUAGAAUUGUAGAGUUGGAAGAGACACCAAGGUCAUCUAGUCAAAUGUAUUGCAAUGCAGGAACCACAGCUAAAGAAUCCCUGACAGAUGGCCAUUAAACCUCUGUUUAAAAAUCUCCAACGAAGGAGUGUCUGUCACCUUCCAAGGUAGCCCAUUUCACUGUUGAACAGCUCUUGCCACUAAAAAGUUCUUCCUAAUGUUUACUCAGAAUCUCCAUCUUAUCAUUGGUUCGGGCCUGGGGAAACCCAGACAGAUGGGUGGGUAUAAACUAAUAAUAAUAAUAAUAAUAAUAAUAAUAAUAAUAAUAAUAAUAAUUAUCCUAUCCUCUUGAGUAACAGGAAAGAAGCCCUUGUGACAGCCCUUCAGAUAUAAGAAGAUGCCUAUUGUAUCACCUCUAGAUCUUCUCUAGGUCAAAGAUACCUAAUUCCCUCAACCAUUCCUCAUAAGGCUUGGUUUCCAGACCCUUGUCCAUCUUGGUUGCCCUCCUCUGCACACGUUCCAUCUUGUCAAUCACCACCACCACCUUUCUUAAACUGUGGUGCCCAGAACUGGACACAGUGCUCCAGGUGGGGCAUCUCACUUUGAACUGAGUUGGAAGAUGGGCUGGAAGGGAUGGCCCUUCCUUGCAGAAAAUUUAGGCAGAUAGGAAACUUUUUAUGGGGACACUCCCAGCUCUACCUGAAUUGCGAGGACCUUCAUGCACAGCAGAUGCUUUGCCACUGAACCAGGGCCCUUCCACAUAGUUCUCAAGUGCUGUCUCCAUGAUAUGCGAUAAAUGUGCAAAUGCCCAACAUUCCUUCCUCUGUAGAAGUUCAGAAAAGUUCUACGCAGUGACUAAACCACACGGGUUUGGGGUUUAUUAUGCAGAUGGAUUCCACACUCUUCUGUUUUUCACCCCCCUCCCUUUUAUCCACUUUUUGUGGAUAAAAUGUUUUGAAUUAGAAUAGCUUACUCAAGGUCACUGAAGGCAUAUGGUCCUGCUCAAAACUUUAAACAAAACAUUAGUUUUUACAACCCUUUGUAAUUUGGUAUUGUAUACAACACGGUCAUCGACGGGCUCACUGUAAUCUUUUUCAGUGGGUGACAGAAAUAUGAGAGGCAAAUUUAUAAGCCAUUUAGUGAAGCAUUUAAUCAAUUUCAUGCAUAGGAAAUAACUCCAAUUGCUUUGCUUUAUCAAUCUUCCUUUUAUUCCCCCACCCCGCCAUCCUGCAGAAAUGCUGUUGUCGUGCUUUCCAGAUAUACGGAAAAGCUGGAACAAUUGACGACGGAUGCAGACUCUUGCAGCGCAUCAGGAAACUUCUGAGGACCAACUUAGUUUGCCAUUCAUUGCCAGCUUCAAGAAUCCCAUGUUUUUGGAAACUGUGAACAAGUUUCCAGGGAGGGUGCAGGGAGGAAGAAUUUUGAACAUUUGCAGAGAGCAGCACAGCGCCAUAGUUAUUUAUUAAACCCUCCUAGCCUAGAAUGACCUCCUGACAUUGCACAGAGGAGCAUUUCCUAAAGUAUCCACAAUGGCUCAAACAUAUAUAGGUGAUCUAGGUAGCUCUGCCGGGGUGCCAAAAUUAGGAAGGGGCCAUAUCCCAAAGGCAGAACAUAUGUUUGGCAUCCAGAAAGUCUCCACUCCAGGCUCCAUGAUCCUGAUUUAAAUCAUGGGCAAGGGAGGGGGGAAUUUCUGUUGAGAGCUGCAUUCCCUCAGAGGUAAUCUAUUGGUAAGAGCAGGAGGCAAAAAAUGGAGCCAGACCUAAAUAUACCAUCCUCCCUCUCCCCAGGACUUUUUCUCCUCUCUCUUUCCCACCCAGGGAAGGGACAAAUUUCUCUUGCUGGAGGUCUCAAAUGAUUGCUUGCAGAGACCUUAUAUAUUAACAAAUAAAUUUACACCAUGUGCAACAAUGGCUCUUAUUCUUUAUUAUGCUGUAUUCAUUCAUUCAUUCUUUUAUUCUUCAUUUAACCUUUUCAGCGUGGGUGGUGCUGUGGUCUAAACCACAGAGCCUAGGCCUUCCCAAUUGGAAGGUCGGCGCUUCAAAUCCCCACGACGGGGUGAGCUCCCAUUGCUCAGUCCUGGCUCCUGCCAACCUAGCAGUUCGAAAGCAAGUCAAAGUACAAGUAGAUAAAUAGGUACUGCUCUGGCGGGAAGGUAAACAGCGUUUCCGUGCGCUGCUCUGGUUUGCCAGAAGUGGCUUAGUCAUGCUGGCCACAUGACCCGGAAGCUGUCUGUGGACAAACGCCGGCUCCCUCGGCCUAUAGAGCGAGAUGAUCGUGCAACCUCAGAGUCGUCCGCAACUGGACCUAACGGUCAGGGGUACCUUUACCUUUUACCACAUGGCUCCAGAAAUCUGGGCUCCCAUAAUAAUAGAAUGUUUGACAAAUGCGAAG
rnacentral:lncRNA from 1 species